rnacentral:rRNA from 1 species
AGAAUUUGAUCUGGUUCAGGAUGAACGCUAGCUACAGGCUUAACACAUGCAAGUCGAGGGUAGCAGGGUAGCAAUACCGCUGACGACCGGCGCACGGGUGAGUAACACGUAUCCAACCUUCCCAUAACUCAGGGAUAGCCUUUCGAAAGAAAGAUUAAUACCUGAUAGUACUUUUUCAAGGCAUCUUGAGAAAGUUAAAGAUUUAUUGGUUAUGGAUGGGGAUGCGUUCCAUUAGAUAGUUGGUGAGGUAACGGCUCACCAAGUCUUCGAUGGAUAGGGGUUCUGAGAGGAAGGUCCCCACAUUGGUACUGAGACACGGACCAAACUCCUACGGGAGGCAGCGGUGAGGAAUAUUGGUCAAUGGGCGAGAGCCUGAACCAGCCAAGUAGCGUGAAGGAAUGAAGGUCCUAUGGAUUGUAAACUUCUUUUAUAGUAGAAUAAAGUGAUCCACGUGUGGAUUUUGUAUGUAUACUAUGAAUAAGGAUCGGCUAACUCCGUGCCAGCCGCCGC